GUCAUUUUUGGCAAAAAUACGGUAAAUUUGCGAAGUUUUUCCCCUUCUUAAGGUCAUUUUGAAGCUUAGAAUUCAAUGCUCAAAUCGCAGGAAAUGGCAUGUCCGGGGUUCUAAUUUUGAAAAUUUUCAGGGGGCAUGCCCCAAGACCCCCCUCGCAAGCCUCGCGCCUCCGCCGCUCGAAGCAUGACCAACAAUUUUUGGCUGGCUUGAAAUAUAUGCGAUGCUCUACGUUUGCUGAGACUAAGACGUCAGAAGCCUCUCGUGACAACAAUGGCGGACAGCGAUUUUGGACAUUUUAAAUGCUCGUGAUUCCGCUGUUGUUAAUCAUGUUGGCCUGAAAUUUUACAGAAGUAUUUUUGGUGCAAUAAAAAAGUCGUUGCUUGGAAAAAAGGGAAUUUUCUCGAUGAUGACUUUUCAUACGUCACAGUCGUACUUUAAGUUAAGCUACAGCUGUAUGCCCAACGUGCACAAUAUCAUCA